rnacentral:lncRNA from 1 species
CGGCGCCACCAUCCCGGUCCCAAUGGACGACGCGGAGCCGCAGCCCGACCCGGAGCCGGCCGACAUAACUUAUUUCGGCCCCACCUCCCUCACGUACCUCCCCGUCCUCCAGUGGCUAGCUGAUAAUUUCUAUUUGUGUGGAGGAUGCACUGUACCCUGCCGGCUACUAUAUGAGCUGUAUAUUGAAACCUGCAAUGCCAGUUUCAAGAUUCAAGUACAUCCAUCCACCUUUGGAAAGCUUAUUCAGUUAGUUUUCCCAGGCUUGGUGACAAGAAGGCGGACCAC